rnacentral:rRNA from 1 species
UCGAUCAACCACCCCAUUGCCGAGUGGUUCCGCUGCUACGCAUCGGCUGGACUCUCCCACUGGCCGGUGUGACCCUGACUCUGUGCCGGGUCUGAGGAUGCCCUCCGUCGUCAUCCCUUAGAAGCCGUUACCUGCCUUCAGACUGGCUCGUUGCGGCGCACUCACUCCUUCCGGAAGCCCAGCAUUUCGAGACAACGGUCCCUUCUUUCAGAAGUACAAUUGACGUACCUCCAACUGCCAUGGACUCUUCUUUCGGGGCCGAUUGAUGCACGGUCGUCGGCGCCAUUAUGCAUCCCCCGUUCGCAACAGGCCUUAAUAACCCGCAUUUCGCGCGCGUCCGCCGCUAAAUUCAGAGUACAAAUUUGGGCCCCGAGUUGAAGCCCAGCGUACCCUUUGACCCAACGAACUCACGUCCUCUCCUUUCGCCUUAAGGUGCACAUCGCCACUUUACGCAUCUCUACACCUCCUUGUGGUCACCGCUUCCGCCGAAAGACCGGACAUUGACUGCGACUCCGCGCUUUCGCACCCCUCGUUUGUCCUAAUCUAUGGGACCAUCAGGUGCGGCAUUUGCUACUUACGAUCCACAGUCCCCAAAGCUAUGGGAACCACGGCUUCAUUUGUGUAAUUCGUAGGCG